GAUCCUGGCUCAGGAUGAACGCUAGCUACAGGCUUAACACAUGCAAGUCGAGGGGAAACGACAUUGAAAGCUUGCUUUUGAUGGGCGUCGACCGGCGCACGGGUGAGUAACGCGUAUCCAACCUGCCCACCACUUGGGGAUAACCUUGCGAAAGUAAGACUAAUACCCGAUGAUAUCUCUAGACGACAUCUGAAAGGGAUUAAAGAUUUAUCGGUGAUGGAUGGGGAUGCGUCUGAUUAGCUUGUUGGCGGGGUAACGGCCCACCAAGGCAACGAUCAGUAGGGGUUCUGAGAGGAAGGUCCCCCACAUUGGAACUGAGACACGGUCCAAACUCCUACGGGAGGCAGCAGUGAGGAAUAUUGGUCAAUGGGCGAGAGCCUGAACCAGCCAAGUAGCGUGCAGGACGACGGCCCUAUGGGUUGUAAACUGCUUUUAUAAGGGAAUAAAGUGAGUCUCGUGAGACUUUUUGCAUGUACCUUAUGAAUAAGGACCGGCUAAUUCCGUG
rnacentral:rRNA from 1 species